rnacentral:rRNA from 1 species
GUGGGGAAUUUUGGACAAUGGGCGCAAGCCUGAUCCAGCAAUGCCGCGUGCAGGAAGAAGGCCUUCGGGUUGUAAACUGCUUUUGUACGGAACGAAAAGGCUCUGGUUAAUACCUGGGGCUCAUGACGGUACCGUAAGAAUAAGCACCGGCUAACUACGUGCCAGCAGCCGCGGUAAUACGUAGGGUGCAAGCGUUAAUCGGAAUUACUGGGCGUAAAGCGUGCGCAGGCGGUUUUGUAAGACAGAGGUGAAAUCCCCGGGCUCAACCUGGGAAUUGCCUUUGUGACUGCAAGGCUGGAGUGCGGCAGAGGGGGAUGGAAUUCCGCGUGUAGCAGUGAAAUGCGUAGAUAUGCGGAGGAACACCGAUGGCGAAGGCAAUCCCCUGGGCCUGCACUGACGCUCAUGCACGAAAGCGUGGGGAGCAAACAGGAUUAGAUACCCGAGUAGUCC